rnacentral:rRNA from 1 species
GCUUCGGCACUUAGUGGCGGACGGGUGAGUAACGCGUGAGAAUCUGGCAAAAGGUUCGGGACAACAGUUGGAAACGACUGCUAAUACCGGAUGUGCCUGUGGGUGAAAGAUUAAUCGCCUUUUAAUGAGCUCGCGUCUGAUUAGCUAGUUGGUGUGGUAAGAGCGCACCAAGGCGACGAUCAGUAGCUGGUCUGAGAGGAUGACCAGUCACACUGGGACUGAGACACGGCCCAGACUCCUACGGGAGGCAGCAGUGGGGAAUUUUCCGCAAUGGGCGAAAGCCUGACGGAGCAAUACCGCGUGAGGGAGGAAGGCUCUUGGGUUGUAAACCUCUUUUCUCAGGGAAUAAGAAAGUGAAGGUACCUGAGGAAUCAGCAUCGGCUAACUCCGUGCCAGCAGCCGCGGUAAUACGGAGGAUGCAAGCGUUAUCCGGAAUGAUUGGGCGUAAAGCGUCCGCAGGUGGUUGCUCAAGUCUGCUGUCAAAGAGUCUGGCUCAACCAGAUAAAGGCAGUGGAAACUGAGAGACUAGAGUGCGGUGGGGGCAGAGGGAAUUCCUGGUGUAGCGGUGAAAUGCGUAGAGAUCAGGAAGAACACCGGUGGCGAAAGCGCUCUGCUGGACCGCAACUGACACUGAGGGACGAAAGCUAGGGGAGCGAAUGGGAUUAGAUACCCCAGUAGUCCUAGCCGUAAACGAUGGAUACUAGCCGUCGGGGAGCUUGCUCUUCGGUGGCGCAGCUAACGUACUAAGCAUCCCGCCUGGGGAGUACGGACGCAAGAUUACAGACUCAAGGAAUUGACCGGG